rnacentral:lncRNA from 1 species
GAAACCGAGCUCCUAUUCGCUUCCACUUGAUCCUAAAUCUGUUGUACCUCCUGCAAUCCCCAUAGAAGCCCCCUCUGAUAGCCGCUCCUCCUCCUCUUUCUCCACUCCUAAAAAAUUAAAAGCAAAACGUUUAUCAAUUCUAAACACUGAUACACCCAUUUCCUUCUCAUCUGCCAGUCACCCUACCCUUAAUAUACCCAGCCCCUCCUAUCAACCUUCCCUAAAACGCUCCCGUUCUGACCCCUCUAUCUCCCCCCCCCCCGAACUCCUUAAGCCUCCUCUCCAGUUCCUCCAAACCCCCCAUUUACCCUCCCUCCUCUAACCAUUUCUCUCUUUUGGCCACUUUAGACUCAUCCCAUCCUAUGGGUGAGUCUAACCCUUCUUCUUAAUGUGUACAAAACUAUUUUUUUGGAACGUCCGGGAUAUAAAUGACCCGGGCAAGCACACCCCUUUUUGUGAUUGGAUUCGAUUCCAUAAACCCUCUUUUGGUGUACUAUUAGAAACCCAUAUAAAAGAUUAGAAUGUUACUAACCUUAUGUCUACUUUGUGUCGGGGAUGGAGAUAUGCAUCUAAUCAUGACUCUGAUGAAGAUGGUAGAAUAAUAAUUAUUUGGAAGGAUGAUAUUAGCGUCACGGUCAUGCACCAGUCAAGACAAUCCAUGACCUGUCAAGUUACUCUUCC